rnacentral:rRNA from 1 species
AUUGAACGCUGGCGGCAGGCCUAACACAUGCAAGUCGAGCGGAUGAAGGGAGCUUGCUCCUGGAUUCAGCGGCGGACGGGUGAGUAAUGCCUAGGAAUCUGCCUGGUAGUGGGGGAUAACGUCCGGAAACGGGCGCUAAUACCGCAUACGUCCUGAGGGAGAAAGUGGGGGAUCUUCGGACCUCACGCUAUCAGAUGAGCCUAGGUCGGAUUAGCUAGUUGGUGGGGUAAAGGCCUACCAAGGAGACGAUCCGUAACUGGUCUGAGAGGAUGAUCAGUCACACUGGAACUGAGACACGGUCCAGACUCCUACGGGAGGCAGCAGUGGGGAAUAUUGGACAAUGGGCGAAAGCCUGAUCCAGCCAUGCCGCGUGUGCGAAGAAGGUCUUCGGAUUGUAAAGCACUUUAAGUUGGGAGGAAGGGCAGUAAGUUAAUACCUUGCUGUUUUGACGUUACCAACAGAAUAAGCACCGGCUAACUUCGUG